rnacentral:piRNA from 1 species
UGCCACUUUGUAUAUUGGAAU